UGUCAAAUGAGACUGCUACAGCUUAAUUUAACGUUAAGUCAACCAACACGGUCUGUGACCAGUUAACGUUAGAACUAGAAGCUAACUUAGCAACUUGCUGGCCUUGCCUCCGUCCAAGAUAACCAAGUAAGGUUCUUCUUCUUCUCAAGGGUCUCUUAAGAUUUGUCACAUUCAAGAGGACACAAAAAUGGAUCCUACAACAGGCAAUUGGAGAUCAUGAUUUGCUUGCAAUUUGCCAAAUGCUGUGUGUCCUCCAGGGGUCAGCAAAGGCAUUUGGUGCUACAAAUUGUGCAUGUCUGCUGGUGCUCUUUUAGUGUCAGUGAAGAAGACUCACGAUGAACUGCCAUGUUAGACAUCCAAGAAAAUACACAUAGAAACCACCUGCGUGAAUCUGUAAAUCAAAGGCAAGAUGAGAACAAAACCUUCACAUGACUGUGCUGACAGCAAGAGGAAGUGAGGGUACACUGGCCUUGAAGUACUCUACAACCUUGAUCAGACAAGUGCAGCAAUGCAAAAUGGUCACUGUUGCAUGUAUGUGCUACUGAAUGAUAAAACACAAAUUAAUUUGUUUGUAUUUCAGUAAAGUUAUUCAAUAACUGUAUAAAAACAUUUCAAACAAAGAAUUGAAUAUGAAUAUGCAGAAACAAAGAAACAAUUGUCCAUCAAAAAUAAAUCAUUGUUGCAGGUCUAGAACAUUCCAGUUAUUCACAAAACAAUAAUGUGGACAUGGUGUUGAGGGUGCAUUAAGUGCAUUUGUGUUCACACCAGCCUUUCCAGAUUCAGAUUCCAGUUUCUCGAAACACCUGGAAGCUCACACUAAAAGGCUUCCUCUCCUGCC